rnacentral:rRNA from 1 species
GUGAGGAAUAUUGGACAAUGGGCGCAAGCCUGAUCCAGCCAUGCCGCGUGCAGGAAGACGCAUCUAUGGUGUGUAAACUGCUUUUGUACGGGAAGAAACACUCCCUCGUGAGGGAGCUUGACGGUACCGUAAGAAUAAGGAUCGGCUAACUCCGUGCCAGCAGCCGCGGUAAUAAGGAGGAUCCAAGCGUUAUCCGGAAUCAAUGGGUUUAAAGGGUCCGUAGGCGGAUGAAUAAGACAGUGGUGAAAGCCCAUCGCUCAACGAUGGAACGGCCAUUGAUACUGUUAGACUUGAAUUACAAGGAAGUAACUAGAAUAUGUAGUGUAGCGGUGAAAUGCUUAGAUAUUACAUGGAAUACCAAUUGCGAAGGCAGGUUACUACUUGUGGAUUGACGCUGAUGGACGAAAGCGUGGGGAGCGAACAGGAUUAGAUACCCCUGUAGUCC